CAGGAGUCACUCUUAUGGCAGGCAUCAAAGCUGCUAUGAUGCAAAUAUACACUCCCUCACUCUCCCCAUGCUUCAGCAUUUGCCAGUCUCAAGUUCGCUUCUGAUACUCAGGAGCUACUGGAAACUUGGUUGCUGUUUAUUUUCAUUUACUUUUUAUUCUGAAAUAAUUUUAGACUCACAGAAGAAGCACAACACACUCAGCUUCCCCUCAUGUUAACAUCUUGUAUAAUCCUGGGACAAUUGACUAAAAUUAAAAAAUUAACAUUGAUAUGACAGUACUAAAUUAUAGGCUUUAUUCAGAAUUUCCCAGUAUUCCUGUGAAUGUCCUUUCUCUGUUCCAGGAUCCAAUCCAGGACCCCAUGUGGUCUUCAGUCUUCACAUCUCCGCAGUCUCAUACUCUGGCAGUUUCUCAGUCUCUACUUGUCUUUGAUGAUAUUUGAAGGGUAUUUGAAAUGGCUGACUUUAUUAACACUGUUAAACAAUCUGGUCAUGUAUUUGAAAUGGCUGACUUUAUUAACACUGUUCAACAAUCUUUUAAAUCUCUUCUUUACAGAAUGAGACAAUAUGGCAUUGGGCAACCACAGGAGAAUAAGACCUAGACUGAAAGGCAGAGCAAUGAGAAGCAGAACUGCAGAGACAAGGAUUCCAGGUGCUUGGAAGUGAGGGUGGAGCCAGCCCGGGAAAAGAUUCAGCCCCAGACGGCUGCACCAGGUGGAGCAAAGAUGUCUUCUCUUUUAUACAUGUCAACUAGAAGGUGACAAGAGACAGGAGCCCAUGAUCUUAAAGCUCCCUGUGUUACCCAGC
rnacentral:lncRNA from 1 species